rnacentral:rRNA from 1 species
AUGGCGCAACCGAGCAGAGCAGGUGAGGAGGGAGACGCGGGUUCCUCUUUCCCGCUGCUUGCUUCGUCGCCGGUGCGGCUCCGAUGGACUCUGGCGGCUCCUCUCUGUCUCCUUCCUCGCCCCCACACGCGGCUCCACUUCCCGCUGGCCAUGGGGCUGGCCGGCAGCAGCGCCUCCAUCCCUGCCGCUGCCAGUCCCGGCGCCGCCGACGGGUCCAUAGGCAGCUUGUUGCAAAAGAGGCAAGCUGAAGAGGAAGGUUGGAAGAAGGAGAGUUAUGAUUGCCUCUUCCUCCUGUUGCUAAGGCAAAAGGACCAAGUGCGGGCGGGUGAGCAUCAGGAGUACAGUUGA